CUUGAGGUGACUGGCUGGCAGAGCAAUCUUUUCUAUAUCAAGAUGAAUAGCUGUGUAAUGUUUUGCUGUCUUCAGGUAUGGAAGUCAACCUCAAAACUUUUGAACUUUUUGGGGGGAGCACACACUUCCUGGUUCUGUUGGUAAAAACCCAGACAUUUUGCUGAUUUUUUGAAUCCCCCUCCCCCAAUAGUUUCGCCAUUUGACUCCUGUACCUGUCCAGGACAUAUGGCAAACUUGCCUACGGUUGCAUUUGAGAGAGUCAGUGUAGCACCAGUGGCUGGUAGUGAGGCAUCUGAUGAAGACCUGCAUUUUAACAUGAGCUUAAAAAAUAUAUUUGUAAAUGUUUGUAUCUCUCAUGCCAGGCAGAAACCAGCUGAAUACUCUGGCAGCUGUUUAUCUUCCUGUUCAAGGGCCCCACUGAUCUAUAGCAGUAUUUCAGGGUUGUAAAAGGAAAUAACAGGCUGGGAGCAAAAGGUCACACUGACCAUACAAAUUACAGAAUACAAUCAAGCUGCAAAAACGCAAUUAAGAGUUGGUAAAUAGUGAAAUUUAUUGUUUAACAGAAGACUCGAGCCAUAUUUUCAUAAGGUUAAAGGGUAAAUUGAAGAAGUUGCUUUUAGAAACAGCAGCUGGCUAGGGAAAGAGGCUUCUCUCCAAGCUGUUUUGAAGCUUCAGAGAACUUAGAGAACUUAGCUUUUACUAAGUUCCUUUCCUUCUAAAAAUCUAUCUAUGUUAUGUAUGAAAUAUAUUGGCUUAAAUGUAAUUAUGCAAAGGAUUUAGAAAGUAAGAAAUGUUAGAUUCUUAUGUUAGAUUCUUAUUUCAUAGAUGGUGUGUGAGAAGGUGAACCCAAGAUCUCUUUAAGAUAAAAAUUAAAAACUAUGCACCAUCUGGUUUAGCCAUCUGUUUUGCAGUGAAUAGGGUAAUAGGGCAGCAGGGGCCAAAGGUUAUCUGGUAAUUAAGGUGCCUGGUCGAGGUAAAUGUAAGAUAUAUGGCUACUUGUCUGCCAUUUAUGGAUAGAAGGAAAUAUAGCUCUUUGUCUCCCAUAAAAGGUAAUAGGAAAUGGGUGUAUCUUUUAUGAUUGGUUCUAGCAAACAGCCAAUAGGAAUUUCAACCAGGCUGAUUGGACAGAGGCAGCCAAAGGAGGAGCAAGGGGGCUGGGCUGAGGAAAUAUAAGUGCUGGCCAUCAGGGCUGGAGUGGGCAGAGCUUUGGUAACCAUAUACCACUGUGUCUCUCAUUUAUUUGUCUGACAAAUAAAUUAUUAUUUUAAUUUCUCUAUUGCUGCGUUGAAUAUUUCAUUCCAGCUAAGCGUUAACCACAAGCAGGGUGCUACAGUAAAGCAAUCCCAAAACCAGAAGAAGUCAGAAGCUGUAAUUUACUCUGUUUGCUGAUAGCAGUGCCAUUAAGAACACAAACACAGCCAUUAAGAACAAUUGACCAGGCAGGUGUUGUCCUUCCCCCAACUGAGAAGUGGACAGAAACAGAAGAACUGAAAGGGGGAGGUUGCCAGUAUAAUAGGGGGCGUGAUGUCAGCACAUUAAAAGAGAUGUCCUUUUAAAACAGAGGUUUUGGAGCAAGGGUUUCUGGGAAUAAGAAGGCAGGGGCAGGACUCCACGUGGCUGGAGGAGGCUGCACGCAGAGACCUGGGAGGCUGGCUGACUGGCUGAUGCUUGGGACCCAAGCUUGCUGAACCUAUAAGAGAAGUGAAGAAGAAGAAGAGUUUGGAUUUGAUAUCCCGCUUUAUCACUACCCAAAGGAGUCUCAAAGCGGCUAACAUUCUCCUUUCCCUUCCUCCCCCACAACAAACACUCUGUGAGGCGAGUUAGGCUGAGAGACUUCAGAGAAAUGUGACUAGCCCAAGGUCACCCAGCAGCUGCAUGUGGAGGAGUGGAGACGCGAACCUGGUUCACCAGAUUAUGAGUCUACCACUACAUAACACAGGUGAUAGAUACUCUUGCGAUGCAACGUUCUGCUGCACUCCUUCCACUGAAACUCAAGUUUUAAAUAUGUGUAAAAUAAGCCAUACUGCAUAAAGACACAACAGUCUCUGCCAUGCCUCAUUCCCAAGGAACACAAGCCCUCCUGGUUAAGUGCCAAGACUUGCUGCCAAUAGGCAGAGGUUGGGGUGGCCUGUAACAGUAUAAUUUUGCCCCAAAUGCACCUUUUGCAAAGCAAUUUCCCCUGAUAUGAUGCAUUUUGGUACAUCUUGUUUUCAUUAAAAUAUUCCUUUGUAUACACAAUUUGCCACAGUGUAUGCAUUUCCAUCACAUUGCUUGGCAGGAGAAACGUGUUGCAAAAUUUGGAAGAGUGCAAAUUUUGAAGGAUACCUGUGUUAUGCUUCACAUACUGUUUUGGGAAAUGUGAAUUUGGUAACUUUACAUUUAAAUACGAAUGGAGCUGAAUUUCUCCCCUUACUCCCCUACAUUUCUUGCAGGACUACUGCCACCAGGAAAGAAAGCUAAUGGUCGCCUAAUUCAGUAAUUGCAAUCACGGUCGUUGUAGGAGGCCUCAAGAAACCAACCAGAACAUUUUCUUUUCUUUCUGUGGUUUGAAAAACAAAAUAAAAUGGCGAGGCUCACAAAGCGAGAAAGAUAAUCCUCACUUUGUCAUCUGAAUGGCGAAGGAGGCAAAUCUUAAUUUAGCUGCCUCGUGUGUUCUCUCCUGUGGAACCGCAUUUCUCCUUGAUGCAGCUGAGGCUUUGCCUGAAAGGGAUUAAGGAAAUCAGUCGCUUUGCUCCCGGUAUUUUACAUAAUGGCGUGAAGUUUAACCAGUAAAAGUAUCAAGAGGCGGUAAUGAGGCUCUAGCAAAAGUAAUAAUUUCCACGAUUUGUGUGCGGU